rnacentral:rRNA from 1 species
AGCAGCCGCGGUAAUUCCAGCUCCAAUAGCGUAUAUUAAAGUUGUUGCAGUUAAAAAGCUCGUAGUUGAAUUUCGGGAUCAGUAUGUUGGUCGUGCUUCGGUACGUACUGUCAUUACUGGUUUCUACCUUCUGAAGAACCUUGAUGUCAUUAAUUUGGUGUCUUGGGGAAUCAGGACUGUUACUUUGAAAAAAUUAGAGUGUUUAAAGCAAGCAUACGCUUGAAUACAUUAGCAUGGAAUAAUGAAAUAGGACGUUUGAUUCUAUUUUGUUGGUUUCUAGGAUCGACGUAAUGAUUAAUAGGGAUAGUUGGGGGCAUUAGUAUUCAAUUGUCAGAGGUGAAAUUCUUGGAUUUAUUGAAGACUAACUACUGCGAAAGCAUUUGCCAAGGAUGUUUUCAUUAAUCAAGAACGAAAGUUAGGGGAUCGAAGACGAUCAGAUACCGUCGUAGUCUUAACCAUAAACUAUG